CACCGCGGGCAUCGGAGGGGAUCGGAGGGGAUGGAUUCCGUGGGCACCGGGAGGGAUCAGAUCGGCUCCGGAGCCUGGAGGCGCCUCGCCCGGGCCGGGCCUGCACGACCCCCCCCCCUCCCGCGGCGCUCAGAUCGGGGUCUCGUUACUGACUGUGUUAAAGGACGUCGACUGACAGAUGUCCCUGGUUUGAAAAGGAAGACUUAAAUGAGUGUGAAAAAACCUGGAUUUUGUUACUGAAAAACAUCAGUCAAGAUCUGCACUGCACAAACUGGGACACAGUGCCCAGCCUUCCGGAGUUCUUGGAAAAGGGUGCUGAGGAGGAGAGUCCAGGACACCAGGAAGUCUUCACAGCAGGAAUGAGAGACUUUCCGUGGGUGCCAUUCCCACCUUUUCACACAGAACAGUGUCUGGACCCCGAGGAUUUCAGCUCCCAGAGCCAGAGCAACGAGUCACGUACAGGAUGGGGCCAAGCAGAUCAGCUUCCCAGCUUAUCAUCCACAGCUGAGGAAACCUGCAGGGGGACCAGGACAGAUCAAGGCAAAACCACAGCUGGGGAAGGCACAAAAGGCAUUUCCAACCUGGGAGCGAGUCCUGAGCCACGAGAACUCCCUGGGCACAGGAGUUGUGCACGGCCCUGGGCACCGGGCUCUGGGAGAGCUCCCAGGCCCCAGCAGCACCUCCCGGGGGCUGCCCAGAGCAGUGGGGGAGACAGGAGAGAGGGGGGUGAGACAGAGCCCCAGCCAGGGGAGGGGGAUGUUCCAGCUGGGGGGGACAGAGCUGUGCCUGCCGGGGAGCCUGCAGGGAGUGUUCCUGGGGCCGGGAGCGGCGAGGAGAGGCUGGAAGAGCAGAGUGGAGGAUCUGCAGCUCUCGACAGCUGUCCCAUGUGCCUGACGCAGUUCAGUGGAGCGCUCUCCCAGCUGGACAUCGAUGGGCACCUGGCCAGGUGCUUGUCUGAGAGCGCAGAGGAUGUCAUGUGGUAAAUCCAGGAGAAUGGAGAGCGAAGGAACAAGGCCAAGGAUGAACCUUUCUCAAAGGAAAAGGAAAAAUGUGUCAAGGAAGCACAUCCUCAGCUCAAACUUUCGGAUCACAAACCAGUAACUCAGUAGAAGGUGAAGUGUCAAGGCUCUUUUUAUUUUAAAUCCUCUCAAAUGCAGGUAAAGUAGUUCCAGUUCUGAAAAUGGUGCUCUGGGGAGACCCCCAGGGAAAUCAGCCUGGUACUCCUGAAAAAGGGGACUGCUGGAAAUCCCUGGAGCCCCUGCGUGGUCUGAGGCACUGGAGCUGGGAAGCUCUUGGUGCAGAGGAAACAGCUGCACAAGAGACAUCUGUUACCUUCAUCUGAAAGU